GACGAACGCUGGCGGCGUGCCUAAUACAUGCAAGUCGAACGAGUGGCGGACGGGUGAGUAAUGUCUGGGAACCUGCCUGAUAGCGGGGGAUAACUACUGGAAACGGUAGCUAAUACCGCAUACCAUCGGAUGUGCCCAGAUGGGAUUAGCUAGUUGGUGGGGUAAAGGCUCACCUAGGCGACGAUCCCUAGCUGGUCUGAGAGGAUGACCAGCCACACUGGAACUGAGAGACGGGCCAGACUCCUACGGGAGGCAGCAGUGGGGAAUAUUGGACAAUGGGCGCAAGCCUGAUGCAGCCAUGCCGCGUGUAUGAAGAAGGCCUUCGGGUUGUAAAGUACUUUCAGCGGGGAGGCGUUACCCGCAGAAGAAGCACCGGCUAACUCCGUGCCAGCAGCCGCGGUAAUAC
rnacentral:rRNA from 1 species